GAGAAUUCUAAGAGAGAAAUUGAGAAGGAGAGAGAUGAUCAAAACAUAAAAUGAGACUCUAUUUAUAGAAAAAUACAUUCAUAAUCCAGUAUUUUACGAUCCAUCAUAAGUUUUAUGAAUGCGCUCCACACAAUCAUUAGAUCAAGAUUCAACAGCUGGUCAAACUUCAAAAGUCAACAUUACACAUGACAUCAUGUGAACUUGUGAAGCGUCUGAUUCGGUCAAAGAACGGUUGAGAUUUGGCAUAUUAAUGGGUGGAUCAGGUCGACCCAAAUACAAAGGUUCGAAUCCUUCAACUUGCUUCACCAACCAUUGCCACAUGGCAUGAUCGUGGUCAUUGAAUUAUAAAUGGUUGAGCUUUAGUCAAAAUUGACAGCUAUCCAAUGCAUUCAUAUCUAUUGUAAGCUCACUUUAUCAUCCAAUCAGUUUUCGAUCAACAAGAAAGUCAACUUUUUGUACAAUCUCAAUUUUAAGUUAGUCCUAACUUAGCUUAAGGUUUUUGGACCUUCGAAAUCUAAAUUUGAUAUCGGUUUAUCUGUUUUAAGCUUAUAAUUACAUGAAAUUAAUAUUUUACCUUAUAAACCCACAAAAUACACA
rnacentral:lncRNA from 1 species